rnacentral:lncRNA from 1 species
UUUUUAAAUGACAAAUAUUAUUCACGUCGGAAAAAUGCAAGGAGCAUUCACCGCGGAUAAAACGACGAAAAUACAAACGGCACCGCAUAUAUACGGAAUAUUGGAACCCCAAACAAAAGCUACCGGAAAGAAAUGAGGCGAAACUAUACGCACUAAGAAACACACGCAUACCCCCGCCUCACUACCAAACAGACAACCGGAAGCUAAAAAAAAUGAAAGAUGUUGAGAAGAAGAUAAAAGAUGAACUGAAUCUUAUUCCCAUCUAUUAUCUGAUUCAGUUAUAAAAGCAGUGAACUAGUGAGAAGAAGCUUCCACUUGCUUAGUUGGAAAUCCUUGAGAAAUAUCCUCUUCUUUAUUCUCAGCAAUUGGAUCUUUGAUUCUCUCAUCGCUGCGAUUAUUUAAUAAGGUGUAAGAACAAUUAUUUAAAUAAAGAACAACAAAAUAUAUAGUUUCUCUCAAAAAAAAAAAAUUAGCCCCAUAAAAUAGGGAUAGAAAUUGUGUGAUUUCCAUGUUUUAAUACUCUCGAUCAUCAAUUCAGUCAAGGCAUUGUUGCUCUUAUAUCAAAAUUAAUUGUAUUUUGGUCCUCAUAUUUUAUCAUGCUCACAGAAAUAAUUCUUUCUUUUGAAAAAUUGAACAUUUUUAUUCUCAUGUAUAACAUUUUUUAUAGUUUUGGUCCAAACCAUAUAUUUUUUGGCCUAAAAAUGGUGAUAUUUGGCUAAAAAUAUCGCAAAUGUUGGCCUUAAUAUACCAAUUUUCAAGCAUAAAUGGUAGAUGUGCCUCGCCAAUAUCACAUCUCCCUCAACAAUAUCGAGUCAAAAAAUGAAAAUCUAAGAUUUCAUUUGAUGAGAGUUAUAUACAAAGAGGAUAUUGGUGGAAUCCAAAUGUUUACAAAUAAUUUAAAAAAUGCACCCAACUAAACUCUUAUAUUUUUCUAUCAUCUCUCUUAUAAAGGGUGUCUCAUUUUCUUUUGAAAGAUGGAUACAAUUUCAUCUUUCAAAUAUCCUUAUGCAUGGGUAUCUAUUAUGCAAAUUUCAAACAAAUUUGUAAAUAUAUAUUGGUAUCCGGAGAAAAAUGUUUUUUUUUAGUAUAGUUUUUAUGUUAAUAAUCCUAAAUUAUCUUUGAUUAAAAUUUAAGAGUUAAAUAUGUUAUUCUUCUUUAUAAAAUUAACAAGUAUUUUUUUUCCACCCAAUAAAAUAAUCACACUUUUUAGUCUACAGAUAAUGAUUGUGCAAGCAAUUACAAUUCUAGUUGUUAAAUCAACGCAUUUUUUUAAAAGAUUUUUUUGCAGACAUACAUGUUUAGAAUAUUAUAGAAUGUUCGUCCACAAAAUUGAAUUCAAAAUUUGAUUUCUAUAUUCAGAUAUUUGUUACAAAAUUGAAUUCAAAAUUUGAUUUCUAUAUUCAGAUAUUUGUUACGGUAAACUUAAUCAUUUGGACUUUAAAAAAUAUUAUAGAAAUUAUUAUUAAUUAUUUUUUUUAAGAAUUCAAACUAGCUAAAUGAAAUUAACAUCGAGGAUAAUUGAAUCUAAGAUCUAAGAUGAGCACAGUUCAAGAUCUCAAGCGAACACCAAGUUAGGCUAAAUGGGUUGAAAAUUAUUAAUUAAUUAAAGUGAUAUUGAAAUAAUUUUACAACUUUUCAAAAAAUAAAUAAAUAAAUAAUUUUACAAGGUGAAUACCUAACCAAUUUUUAUCUCCUAGACAAAUAUCUUUCCAAGACAGAAGUGAAAAUUAUGUGUUGCAAAACCUAAUUACCACGGGUCAGUUUCCUGUUGUUGUCGUUGGGCAUUCAGUUUGUCUAUUUUCUGUUGUAACUUGUCAUUACGUAUCCUUAUCUCAUCAUUGGUGAGUCGUCUUCUGAAACACAAAAAUGGCAUAAUGGCGCAGAAAUGUGAAACUAAAGUCUCAAUAUAAG